UAGGGAAUCUUCGGCAAUGGACGAAAGUCUGACCGAGCAACGCCGCGUGAGUGAAGAAGGUUUUCGGAUCGUAAAACUCUGUUGUUAGAGAAGAACAAGGACGUUAGUAACUGAACGUCCCCUGACGGUAUCUAACCAGAAAGCCACGGCUAACUACGUGCCAGCAGCCGCGGUAAUACGUAGGUGGCAAGCGUUGUCCGGAUUUAUUGGGCGUAAAGCGAGCGCAGGCGGUUUCUUAAGUCUGAUGUGAAAGCCCCCGGCUCAACCGGGGAGGGUCAUUGGAAACUGGGAGACUUGAGUGCAGAAGAGGUGAGUGGAAUUCCAUGUGUAGCGGUGAAAUGCGUAGAUAUAUGGAAGAAAACCAGUGGCGAAGGCGGCUCUCUGGUAUGUAACUGACGCUGAGGCUCGAAAGCGUGGGGAGCAAACAGG
rnacentral:rRNA from 1 species